UACGGAGGAUGCGAGCGUUAUCCGGAUUUAUUGGGUUUAAAGGGUGCGUAGGUUGUUUUUUAAGUCAGCGGUGAAAGUUUGUGGCUCAACCAUAAAAUUGCCGUUGAAACUGGAAGACUUGAGUGUGUUUGAGGUAGGCGGAAUGCGUGGUGUAGCGGUGAAAUGCAUAGAGAUCACACAGAACACCGAUUGCGAAGGCAGCUUACAAAUCUAUAUCGGACGCUGAGGCACGAAAGCGUGGGGAGCAAACAGG
rnacentral:rRNA from 1 species